AAAUUGAAGAGUUUGAUCAUGGCUCAGAUUGAACGCUGGCGGCAGGCCUAACACAUGCAAGUCGAACGGUAACAGGAAACAGCUUGCUGUUUCGCUGACGAGUGGCGGACGGGUGAGUAAUGUCUGGGAAACUGCCUGAUGGAGGGGGAUAACUACUGGAAACGGUAGCUAAUACCGCAUAAUGUCGCAAGACUAAAGAGGGGGACCUUCGGGCCUCUUGCCAUCGGAUGUGCCCAGAUGGGAUUAGCUAGUAGGUGGGGUAACGGCUCACCUAGGCGACGAUCCCUAGCUGGUCUGAGAGGAUGACCAGCCACACUGGAACUGAGACACGGUCCAGACUCCUACGGGAGGCAGCAGUGGGG
rnacentral:rRNA from 1 species